GAUCGGGGGCAAAUUAAGAGUAUUGUUGUCCGAAGAAUCGAUGACGCCUUUCGGAGGUCAUUGACUUCCGUUUCGUGUAACACAAGAAGACAUGCGCGAACUGAGGAAUCCGCGAUCUGCGUUCUUUCACUUUGACCCCGACCGUGGUAUCAGCAGCAGCGAGAGUCCUUUGACAUUGUUCCGCGUUGUCUUAAAUGCUAUCACUAAUUAGCUAGCUAGGUAGUGUGGGCGGUAAAUUGUGUGCGAGGCAGCAAAAUACAAAAAGCGAUCACCGACCGCCGCACUUCUAGCGACGCACAAGCGGCAGCCAGGAAUCCUGGCCCAGGAUCUCGUCGACCGCCGGUCCCCA